rnacentral:rRNA from 2 species
GGAUGCGAUCAUACCAGCACUAAAGCACCGGAUCCCAUCAGAAUUUUGAAGUUAAGCGUGCUUGGGCGAGUGUAGUAUUAGGAUGGGUGACCUCCUGGGAAGUCCUCGUGUUGCAUUCC